AGCGUCACGGGGUCGACCGCGCGGGUCACCAGGAGAUAGUCCCGCAUGGCCAUCGCGUGGCGGCCCUC
rnacentral:sRNA from 1 species